CCAGACUCCUACGGGAGGCAGCAGUGGGGAAUAUUGCACAAUGGGGGAAACCCUGAUGCAGCGACGCCGCGUGAGUGAAGAAGUAUCUCGGUACGUAAAGCUCUAUCAGCAGGGAAGAAAAUGACGGUACCUGACUAAGAAGCCCCGGCUAACUACGUGCCAGCAGCCGCGGUAAUACGUAGGGGGCAAGCGUUAUCCGGAUUUACUGGGUGUAAAGGGAGCGUAGACGGCAGCACAAGUCUGGAGUGAAAUCCCGGGGCUUAACCCCGGAACUGCUUUGGAAACUGUGCGGCUGGAGUGCAGGAGGGGUAAGCGGAAUUCCUAGUGUAGCGGUGAAAUGCGUAGAUAUUAGGAGGAACACCGGUGGCGAAGGCGGCUUGCUGGACAGUAACUGACGUUGAGGCUCGAAAGCGUGGGGAGCAAACAGGAUUAGAUACCCUGGUA
rnacentral:rRNA from 1 species